GUGAAGUCGUGUAGUCCACAGAUCACACGAGAACGUUAAGAUUGAAAAUUACAUUUUGCUCUGUUUGAAAGAGUAAAGCGUGCUGGAAUAAUUUCACAAGGGGGUUCAAGCACUGCCCAGUGUUGACAUCAAAGAGAUUCAUGGGCACUGCAAGGCUUCGAUGUAUGUCUUGACAACAAAUAUGGAUUUAAUAAUAAGUGAAAUGCAAUACUAAAGGCACAAACAAUUCAGGCAGUUUAAGAGAGAUGUUUCAAUGGGUGUAGAACUACCACUAGAAGGAGUGGACGACCCACGACGUGAGUUUGCUUGAAAAGAUAAAUGUCUACGGACACUAGCUCCGUUGCUGCUAGUAGCUGAAGAAACGGUGGCUGU